rnacentral:rRNA from 1 species
CCUACGGGAGGCAGCAGUGAGGAAUAUUGGUCAAUGGUCGGGAGACUGAACCAGCCAAGCCGCGUGAGGGAUGAAGGUUCAGAGUAUAGUAAACCUCUUUUGUCAGGGAACAAAGGCGGGGACGCGUCCCCGGAUGAGUGUACCUGAAGAAAAAGCAUCGGCUAACUCCGGGCCAGCAGCCGCGGUAAUACGGAGGAUGCGAGCGUUAUCCGGUUUUAUUGGGUUAAAGGGGUGCGCAGGCGGUCUGUUAAGUCAGCGGUCAAAGCCCGGGGCUCACCCCCGGCCCGCCGUUGAAACUGGGAGUCUCGAGUUUGCGAGCGGUAUGCGGAAUGCGCGGUGUAGCGGU